rnacentral:rRNA from 1 species
GAGUUUGAUCGUGGCUCAGAUUGAACGCUGGCGGCGUGCUUAACACAUGCAAGUCGAGCGGUAACAGGCGUAGCAAUACGUGCUGACGAGCGGCGAACGGGUGAGUAAUGCUUCGGAAUCUUCCUCGUAGUGGGGAAUAACCUGGGGAAACUCAGGCUAAUACCGCAUACGAACUACGGUUGAAAGCGGGGGAUCGCAAGACCUCGCGCUAUGAGAUGAGCCGAAGUCGGAUUAGCUAGUUGGUGAGGUAAAGGCUCACCAAGGCGACGAUCCGUAGCUGGUCUGAGAGGACGACCAGCCACACUGGGACUGAGACACGGCCCAGACUCCUACGGGAGGCAGCAGUGGGGAAUAUUGGACAAUGGGGGCAACCCUGAUCCAGCGACGCCGCGUGUGUGAAGAAGGCCUGCGGGUUGUAAAGCACUUUUAGUGGGGAUGAAAAGCCGAGGGCUAAUACUCUUCGGUCUUGACCUAACCCAAAGAAAAAGCACCGGCUAACUCUGUGCC